CCUACGUGAGGCAGCAGUGAGGAAUAUUGGUCAAUGGGCUUACGCCUGAACCAGCCAAGUCGCGUGAGGGAAGACUGCCCUAUGGGUUGUAAACCUCUUUUGUCAGGGAGCAACGCCGGCUACGUGUAGCCGGACUGAGAGUACCUGAAGAAAAAGCAUCGGCUAACUCCGUGCCAGCAGCCGCGGUAAUACGGAGGAUGCGAGCGUUAUCCGGAUUUAUUGGGUUUAAAGGGUGCGUAGGCGGAAUGCCAAGUCAGCGGUAAAAUCGCGGGGCUCAACCUCGCUCCGCCGUUGAAACUGGCGUUCUUGAGUGGGCGAGAAGUAUGCGGAAUGCGUGGUGUAGCGGUGAAAUGCAUAGAUAUCACGCAGAACUCCGAUUGCGAAGGCAGCAUACCGGCGCCCAACUGACGCUGAAGCACGAAAGCGUGGGUAUCGAACAGGAGUAGAUACCCGGGUAGUC
rnacentral:rRNA from 1 species